UUCGGGAGGGCGUUUACCACGGUGUGAUUCAUGACUGGGGUGAAGUCGUAACAAGGUAACCCUAGGGGAACCUGGGGUUGGAUCACCUCCUUA
rnacentral:rRNA from 1 species